GACGAACGCUGGCGGCGUGCUUAACACAUGCAAGUCGAACGGAAAGGCCCUGCUUUUGUGGGGUGCUCGAGUGGCGAACGGGUGAGUAACCCGUGAGUAACCUGCCCUUGACUUUGGGAUAACUUCAGGAAACUGGGGCUAAUACCGGGUAGGAGCUCCUGCUGCAUGGUGGGGGUUGGAAAGUUUCGGCGGUUGGGGAUGGACUGGCGGCUUAUCAGCUUGUUGGUGGGGUAGUGGCUUACCAAGGCUUUGACGGGUAGCCGGCCUGAGAGGGUGACCGGCCACAUUGGGACUGAGAUACGGCCCAGACUCCUACGGGAGGCAGCAGUGGAGAAUAGUGCACAAUGGGCGGAAGCCUGAUGCAGCAACGCCGCGUGCGGGAUAACGGCCUUCGGGUUGUAAACCGCUUUCGCCUGUGACGAAGCGUGAGUGACGGUAAUGGGUAAAGAAGCACCGGCUAACUACGUG
rnacentral:rRNA from 1 species